rnacentral:rRNA from 1 species
GAUGAACGCUGGCGGCGUGCCUAAUACAUGCAAGUCGAGCGAAUGGAUUAAGAGCUUGCUCUUAUGAAGUUAGCGGCGGACGGGUGAGUAACACGUGGGUAACCUGCCCAUAAGACUGGGAUAACUCCGGGAAACCGGGGCUAAUACCGGAUAACAUUUUGAACCGCAUGGUUCGAAAUUGAAAGGCGGCUUCGGCUGUCACUUAUGGAUGGACCCGCGUCGCAUUGGCUAGUUGGUGAGGUAACGGCUCACCAAGGCAACGAUGCGUAGCCGAGCGGAGAGGGUGAGCGGCCACACUGGGACUGGGACACGGCCCAGACUCCUACGGGAGGCAGCAGUAGGGAAUCUUCCGCAAUGGACGAAAGUCUGACGGAGCAACGCCGCGUGAGUGAUGAAGGCUUUCGGGUCGUAAAACUCUGUUGUUAGGGAAGAACAAGUGCUAGUUGAAUAAGCUGGCACCUUGACGGUACCUAACCAGAAAGCCACGGCUAACUACGUGCCAGCCGCCGCCGUAA